rnacentral:rRNA from 1 species
AUUGAACGCUGGCGGCAUGCUUUACACAUGCAAGUCGAACGGCAGCGCGGGCUUCGGCCUGGCGGCGAGUGGCGAACGGGUGAGUAAUGCAUCGGAACGUGCCCAGUAGUGGGGGAUAGCCCGGCGAAAGCCGGAUUAAUACCGCAUACGACCUGAGGGUGAAAGCGGGGGACCGAAAGGCCUCGCGCUAUUGGAGCGGCCGAUGUCGGAUUAGCUAGUUGGUGGGGUAAAGGCUUACCAAGGCGACGAUCCGUAGCUGGUCUGAGAGGACGACCAGCCACGCGGGGGCGGAGACCCGGCCGAGACACCGAGGGGAGGCGGCAGUGGGGAAUACUGGAGAAGGGAGGCAACGAGGAGCCAGCCGGGCGGAGGGGGGAAAGGUGGCAUGCGGUUUGUCACCGGCUUUUGGCAGGGAAGAAGUCCUCGGGGCCACGCAGGGGGGGGGACGCGGGUACCGGAAGAAGAAGCACCGGCUAACAAGGGACGAGCCGCGGCGGGAAUAAUCGGAAGAGCACACUACUGACC